rnacentral:tRNA from 1 species
CAGCUGGUAGCGCAGGGGCUAGAGCAGCUUCCUUGGAAUCGAAGUUUUGUGGGGUUCAAUACCCCCUCCAGCUGU